CUGUUCUUGCAGGGUUGCUACUCAAAUGAUUUGUCAAAUGAUAGUCAAUGUUCUUGCAGGGAUAGAAUUCGAGCGUUAAAAGUAAUUUUAUUUGCAGCAAGCUUGCAAAAAGUGUUCGUAUUCAUUCAUUCCAUGUAUAUAAACAGAAUUUUGUUGCGGCUUUUUCACUAUCGGGAAUAUGGCGCGACGUCUCCGUUUUUUAAACCCGAAGAAAACACUGUUUCUACUUUGUGACAUACAGGAAAAAUUUCGUCCUGUGCUUCCUCUAUUCAAAGGCUUGGUGCAGAAUGCUGACAAACUGCAGCAUACAAGUUCCCCAUAGAGUUUUGGGGAGUGUUGCUGGAGUAACAGUCCUUGGCCAGAUAUAAAUCUGGGUCGUUCCGGUUACGUAGACCCGACUGUCGUGGGAACGAAAUUCCUCUAGUAUUUAUGUUUGCAAUACA